ACAGGGAUUGCCCUAGUACGGCGAGUGAAGCGGCAACAGCUCAAAUUUGAAAUCUGGCGUCUUUGGCGUCCGAGUUGUAAUUUGCAGAGGGCGCUUUGGCAUUGGCAGCGGUCCAAGUUCCUUGGAACAGGACGUCACAGAGGGUGAGAAUCCCGUACGUGGUCGCUAGCCUUUACCGUGUAAAGCCCCUUCGACGAGUCGAGUUGUUUGGGAAUGCAGCUCUAAAUGGGAGGUAAAUUUCUUCUAAAGCUAAAUACUGGCCAGAGACCGAUAGCGCACAAGUAGAGUGAUCGAAAGAUGAAAAGCACUUUGGAAAGAGAGUUAAAAAGCACGUGAAAUUGUUGAAAGGGAAGCGCUUGCAGCCAGACUUGCCUGUAGUUGCUCAUCCAGGUUUCUACCUGGUGCACUCUUCUAUAGGCAGGCCAGCAUCAGUUUGGGCGGUUGGAUAAAGGUCUCUGUCAUGUACCUCUCUUCGGGGAGAACUUAUAGGGGAGACGACAUGCAACCAGCCUGGACUGAGGUCCGCGCAUCUGCUAGGAUGCUGGCGUAAUGGCUGUAAGCGGCCCGUCUUGAAACACGGACCAAGGAGUCUAACAUCUAUGCGAGUGUUUGGGUGUCAAGCCCGAGCGCGUAAUGAAAGUGAACGGAGGUGGGAACCUUUCGGGGUGCACCAUCGACCGAUCCUGAUGUCUUCGGAUGGAUUUGAGUAAGAGCAUAGCUGUUGGGACCCGAAAGAUGGUGAACUAUGCUUGAAUAGGGUGAAGCCAGAGGAAACUCUGGUGGAGGCUCGCAGCGGUUCUGACGUGCAAAUCGAUCGUCAAAUUUGGCAUAGGGCGAAAGACUAAUCGAACUAUCUAGUAGCUGGUUCCUGCCGAAGUUUCCCUCAGGAUAGCAGUAACGUUUUCAGUUUUAUGAGGUAAAGCGAAUGAUUAGAGGCCUGGGGGUUGAAACAACCUU
rnacentral:rRNA from 1 species